UCCAAUUCAGCACUAUCUGAAGAUGGGAAGUUCCUUUUGCCUGCACGCAAAUGCAGACGUCCCACCUGCACAGAUUAUAUCAUCUCUCUGCAUGCAGACGACAUGUCAAAGGGAGGUGAUUUUUCUAAUCAUGAAACAUGAGAAUUCAUUAUUUUCUUCCUUAUUAGUGUGAAUACUUACACCUUUUUCUUCCCCUUUAAUAAGUUCACAAUCUAUGAUGGACAGCCUCCCCAUGCCCGAGCAAAGAUUACAAAAAGUCGCUCCACCAGGCUGGUGAAUUUAAAACAAGUUGCACCCAAGGUUCCUACAGGCAAUUAUCCAGUGGCUCACAUAUCAUAUGAAUUGAAAGCAUUAUGUACUAUGCAACUAUAAUAGGUUCUUCUUUGGAUUAACUCAAUUCUUAAACUAAAACAUUUUAUCCAAGUAGUGGAAGAUUUUGCUGAAAAUCUAUUUGCUUACAUGCUGACCACGUAAUGCUCAUUGUGUAUCUACCUCAAUAUGGCAAGCAGGGGGCCUAGGAGAAUGAACUGCAUCAUGGAUUCCCUUCCUGCUUCUGCAAUUGAACCGGGAGGGGUGGCCCCUACACAGACCGAGUUUUCCCUCAGCAAUGCAGAUAU
rnacentral:lncRNA from 1 species